UGGAUCCAGACUUUGAUCCUGGCUCAGGAUGAACGCUAGCUACAGGCUUAACACAUGCAAGUCGAGGGGCAUCAUGACGAUAGCUUGCUAUUGUUGAUGGCGACCGGCGCACGGGUGAGUAACGCGUAUCCUACCUGCCCUUGUCCAUCCAAUAACCCGUCGAAAGACGGCCUAACACGAUAUGCAGUCCACAGAAGGCAUCUGACGCGGACGAAAUGUAAAGGAGAAGGAUGGGGAUGCGUCUGAUUAGCUUGUUGGCGGGGUAACGGCCCACCAAGGCGACGAUCAGUAGGGGUUCUGAGAGGAAGGUCCCCCACAUUGGAACUGAGACACGGUCCAAACUCCUACGGGAGGCAGCAGUGAGGAAUAUUGGUCAAUGGGCGAGAGCCUGAACCAGCCAAGUAGCGUGCAGGAUGACGGCCCUAUGGGUUGUAAACUGCUUUUAUGCGGGGAUAAAGUGAGCCACGUGUGG
rnacentral:rRNA from 1 species